rnacentral:rRNA from 1 species
UGGGGAAUAUUGCACAAUGGGCGCAAGCCUGAUGCAGCGACGCCGCGUGGGGGAUGACGGCCUUCGGGUUGUAAACUCCUUUCGCUAGGGACGAAGCUUUUUGUGAUGGUACCUAGAUAAGAAGCACCGGCUAACUACGUGCCAGCAGCCGCGGUAAUACGUAGGGUGCGAGCGUUGUCCGGAAUUACUGGGCGUAAAGGGCUCGUAGGUGGUUUGUCGCGUCGUCUGUGAAAUUCCGGGGCUUAACUCCGGGCGUGCAGGCGAUACGGGCAUAACUUGAGUACUGUAGGGGUAACUGGAAUUCCUGGUGUAGCGGUGAAAUGCGCAGAUAUCAGGAGGAACACCGAUGGCGAAGGCAGGUUACUGGGCAGUUACUGACGCUGAGGAGCGAAAGCAUGGGUAGCGAACAGG